GGAUAUGACUCAGUUGGUAGAGUGCCUGUCUCACGUGCACAAGGCCCUGGGUUCAAUCCCCAGCAACGCA
rnacentral:tRNA from 1 species